GUGAGUCCUUAAACUUUCGGCCAGCAUGUGACCUGAAGCUGGUCUCUAAUUGGUUUCUUAAAGAUUCUCCUCCGGACGCACCUCGCUGCGUCCCUGGCAAAUCAGAAUUGGAGAUAUGUUAUUUUAUCCAAUCUGAUUGGUUCUCAACACCUGUCAUUCAACUCUUCCCCCGGCCGCUACUGGAGAGUGAACGUGGACACAAUAGUAGCGCCAGCAGGUAGCUCCUGUGUUGUUGAAAUGGUCUAACCACUUUGAUUAAAGUAGGAAACUAGCAACAAUAAACAAGGAGAGAUUCUUGAAAGGGUGAAAGAGAAGUUAUACAACGUCGUGGAGCUGCCGACCCCGUCCAAACGGCGUGUGAAUUGAAUAUUCCGGCUGUUUUUUUGGUGAGACUCUACUAGAGACAGAACUGUGCUGCUCAAGUCACUGUCGUCAUACUGCCUUCUGGGUUUCAUCUUCAUCACCACCAUCUUCUUACCGCUCACUAGAUCUUCGCCAUCAUCAUCUCCACUACUCACAGGAUUGUCCCGUCGUUUCCCUACUCCAUUCUCUGAGGAGCCAGGAUGGACAGUUUGACCUGCUAAGGGAGGUGCUAAAAUUUCUACUCUAAAAGCAGAGAUCUCCUUGCUUAAAGAUGAGUGUGACUUUUUGAAGAAGGGGAUUGAAAAGAUGAAGUCUGUUGUUCCAACUGCAGUGUCUCAAGUCCAUGCUGAUCCGACAGUGUCAGAUUCUUCAGAACAGCAAGACUCGUGGGAUUCCACCAGCUCCUCAUCAUCCUCGGAGAAAGGGAAGAAAAAGAAGAAAAAAAUGAAGAAACCAAGGAAGAGCAAAAAAAAAAGGGGGGAAAAAUGUUAACUUAUGUCUAUAUCAUUAAAAUUGAAAAGUUCACAAUCUG